rnacentral:pre_miRNA from 1 species
UUGCCUCCUAGAGUUCCUCUAAACACUUCUUUGGGGUCAUUUGGAGAAAAUGCCGUUGCCCUACUGAAGUGUUUGGGGGAACUCCGGGUGCCAA